rnacentral:rRNA from 1 species
UAGAGUUUGAUCCUGGCUCAGGACGAACGCUGGCGGCGCGCCUAACACAUGCAAGUCGAACGAGAGAUGAGGAGCUUGCUUCCUCAAUCGAGUGGCGAACGGGUGAGUAACGCGUGAGGAACCUGCCUCAAAGAGGGGGACAACAGUUGGAAACGACUGCUAAUACCGCAUAAGCCCACAGCUCGGCAUCGAGCAGAGGGAAAAGGAGUGAUCCGCUUUGAGAUGGCCUCGCGUCCGAUUAGCUAGUUGGUGAGGUAACGGCCCACCAAGGCGACGAUCGGUAGCCGGACUGAGAGGUUGAACGGCCACAUUGGGACUGAGACACGGCCCAGACUCCUACGGGAGGCAGCAGUGGGGAAUAUUGCACAAUGGGGGAAACCCUGAUGCAGCGACGCCGCGUGGAGGAAGAAGGUCUUCGGAUUGUAAACUCCUGUUGUUGAGGAAGAUAAUGACGGUACUCAACAAGGAAGUGACGGCUAACUACGUGCCAGCAGCCGCGGUAAAACGUAGGUCACAAGCGUUGUCCGGAAUUACUGGGUGUAAAGGGAGCGCAGGCGGGAGAACAAGUUGGAAGUGAAAUCCAUGGGCUCAACCCAUGAACUGCUUUCAAAACUGUUUUUUCUUGAGUAGUGCAGAGGUAGGCGGAAUUUCCCGGUGUAGCGGUGGAAUGCGUAGAUAUCGGGAGGAACACCAGUGGCGAAGGCGGCCUACUGGGCACCAACUGACGCUGAGGCUCGAAAGUGUGGGUAGCAAACAGGAUUAGAUACCCUGGUAGUCCACACCGUAAACGAUGAUUACUAGGUGUUGGAGGAUUGACCCCUUCAGUGCCGCAGUUAACACAAUAAGUAAUCCACCUGGGGGGUACGACCGCAAGGUUGAAACUCAAAGGAAUUGACGGGGGCCCGCACAAGCAGUGGAGUAUGUGGUUUAAUUCGACGCAACGCGAAGAACCUUACCAAGUCUUGACAUCCCUUGACGAACAUAGAAAUAUGUUUUCUCUUCGGAGCAAGGAGACAGGUGGUGCAUGGUUGUCGUCAGCUCGUGUCGUGAGAUGUUGGGUUAAGUCCCGCAACGAGCGCAACCCUUAUGGUCAGUUACUACGCAAGAGGACUCUGGCCAGACUGCCGUUGACAAAACGGAGGAAGGUGGGGAUGACGUCAAAUCAUCAUGCCCCUUAUGAUUUGGGCUACACACGUGCUACAAUGGCGUAAACAAAGGGAAGCGAGAUCGUGAGAUGGAGCAAAUCCCAAAAAUAACGUCCCAGUUCGGACUGUAGUCUGCAACCCGACUACACGAAGCUGGAAUCGCUAGUAAUCGCGGAUCAGAAUGCCGCGGUGAAUACGUUCCCGGGUCUUGUACACACCGCCCGUCACACCAUGGGAGUCAGUAACGCCCGAAGUCAGUGACCUAACUGCAAAGAAGGAGCUGCCGAAGGCGGGACCGAUGACUGGGGUGAAGUCGUAACAAGGU